AGUGAACGCUGGCGGUAUGCCUAAUACAUGCAAGUCGAACGGCAACACAGUAAGCGUUUGCUCUUACGGGUGGCGAGUGGCGGACGGGUGAGGAAUACAUCGCAAUCUACUUUUUCGUGGGGGAUAUCGUAGGGCAACUUACGCUAAUACCGCAUACGUCCUACGGGUGAAAGCAGUGGAUCUUCGGACCUUGCGUGUCUGUUUUAGCCGACGUCGCAUUAGCUAGUUGGCGUGGUAAAGGCCCACCAAGGCGACGAUGCGUAGCCGGUCUGAGAGGAUGAUCAGCCACACUGGAACUGAGACACGGUCCAGACUCCUACGGGAGGCAGCAGUAGGGAAUAUUCGACAAUGGGCGAAAGCCUGACCCAGCCAUACCGCGUGAGUGAAGAAGGCCUUCGGGUUGUAAAACCCUUUUAUUAGGGAAGAAAAGCUGUGGAAGAAUAUAUGGACGUUUUGACGGUACCCAAUCAAAAAGCACCGGCUAACUUCGUG
rnacentral:rRNA from 1 species